CGUACUGGUGUUACUGAUUUCUACCUUCUGACGAACCAUCAUGUCAUUAAUUUGGUGUGGUGGGGAAUCAGGACUGUUACUUUGAAAAAAUUAGAGUGUUUAAAGCAGGCUCGCGCUUGAAUACAUUAGCAUGGAAUAAUGAAAUAGGGCGUUGAUCCUAUUUUGUUGGUUUCUAGGAUUGACGUAAUGAUUAAUAGGGAUAGUUGGGGGCAUUAGUAUUCAAUUGUCAGAGGUGAAAUUCUUGGAUUUAUUGAAGACUAACUACUGCGAAAGCAUUUGCCAAGGAUGUUUUCAUUAAUCAAGAACGAAAGUUAGGGGAUCGAAGACGAUCAGAUACCGUCGUAGUCUUAACCAUAAACUAUGCCGACUAGGGAUCGGAUGAUGUUAUUUUUAAUGACUCAUUCGGCGCCUUACG
rnacentral:rRNA from 1 species